GACGUAGGGUGCAAGCGUUGUCCGGAUUUAUUGGGCGUAAAGAGCUCGUAGGCGGCGUGUUGCGUCGACCGUGAAAACCUAUCCGCUUAACGGUGGGCUUGCGGUCGAUACGGGCAGGCUAGAGUUCGGUAGGGGAGACUGGAAUUCCUGGUGUAGCGGUGAAAUGCGCAGAUAUCAGGAGGAACACCGGUGGCGAAGGCGGGCAU
rnacentral:rRNA from 1 species